rnacentral:rRNA from 1 species
UACGGAAUGUGCAAACGUUAUUCGGAAUUACUGGGCUUAAAGAGUCCGUAGGCGGCCUGUUAGGUGAGUUGUGAAAUCCCCCGGCUCAACCGAGGAAUUGCGGUUCAAACCGGCGUGCUUGAGGAAGAUAGAGGUGGGCGGAACUGAUGGUGGAGCGGUGAAAUGCGUUGAUAUCAUCAGGAACACCGGAGGCGAAGGCGGCCCACUGGGUCUUUUCUGACGCUGAGGGACGAAAGCUAGGGGAGCGAACGGG